UGAUAAUUUACACUCCAAGCCCCUCGGACCUGUGUUAUUGCUGAUAAUAUGGCUGACGGGCCGCAGUUUUAACUGCCAGGGUGUGGGAAGAAAUGACCACAUCUCCCGACUUCGGAAAGGUGUUCUUGUGUCUCAGUU
rnacentral:ncRNA from 1 species